CCCUACGGGGCGCAGCAGUGGGGGAUAUUGCACAAUGGGGGAAACCCUGAUGCAGCGACGCCGCGUGUGGGAAGACGGUCCUCUGGAUUGUAAACCACUGUCCCCAGGGACGAAAAUGACGGUACCUGGGGAGGAAGCUCCGGCUAACUACGUGCCAGCAGCCGCGGUAAUACGUAGGGGGCAAGCGUUAUCCGGAUUUACUGGGUGUAAAGGGAGCGUAGGCGGUAAUGCAAGUCAGAAGUGAAAGCCCGGGGCUCAACUCCGGGACUGCUUUUGAAACUGUGUUGCUAGAUUGCAGGAGAGGG
rnacentral:rRNA from 1 species